GUUUCCGUAGGUGAACCUGCGGAAGGAUCAUUACAGAGUUCAUGCCCUCACGGGUAGAUCUCCCACCCUUGAAUAUUUAUACCUUAGUUGCUUUGGCAGGCCGUGGAAACACCAUGGGCUCCGGCUUAUGCGUGCCUGCCAGAGGAAACGAACUCUGUUUUUAGUGAUGUCUGAGUACUAUAUAAUAGUUAAAACUUUCAACAACGGAUCUCUUGGUUCUG
rnacentral:misc_RNA from 1 species